rnacentral:rRNA from 1 species
UACAGAGGGUGCGAGCGUUGUCCGGAAUUACUGGGCGUAAAGGGCGCGUAGGCGGCUCGAUAGGUCGGGGGUGAAAUUCCGUGGCUCAACCACGGGACUGCCUUCGAGACUGUCAGGCUGGAGCACGGUAGAGGCAGAUGGAAUUCCCGGUGUAGCGGUGGAAUGCGUAGAGAUCGGGAAGAACACCAGUGGCGAAGGCGGUCUGCUGGGCCGUUGCUGACGCUGAUGCGCGACAGCGUGGGGAGCAAACAGG